rnacentral:rRNA from 1 species
ACGGCUCACCAAGGCUUACGGGUAGUUGGUCUGAGAGGAUGAUCAGCAACACUGGAACUGAGACACGGUCCAGACUCCUACGGGAGGCUGCAGUCGAGAAUCAUUGUCAAUGCACGAAAGUGUGAACAUGCGACGCCGCGUGGAGGAAGACGGCCUUCGGGUUGUAAACUCCUGUCAGCAGGGAGGAAAGGCAGCAUCCUGAAUAAGGGUGUUGUUUGACAGUACCUGCAGAGGAAGUCACGGCUAACUCUGUGCCAGCAGCCGCGGUAAUACAGAGGUGGCGAACGUUGUUCGGAUUUACUGGGCGUAAAGGGUCCGCAGGCGGUUCGGUGUGUCGGAUGUGAAAGCUCACAGCUCAACUGUGGAAUUGCAUUCGAAACUGCCGGACUAGAGUACUGGAGGGGAGAAGGGAACACUUGGUGUAGCGGUGAAAUGCGUAGAUAUCAAGUGGAACACCGGAGGCGAAGGCGCUUCUCUGGACAGAUACUGACGCUCAUGGACGAAAGCUAGGGUAGCGAAAGGGAUUAGAUACCCCUGUAGUCCUAGCCGUAAACGGUGUGCACUAGACGUGGGUGGAUUUACCCCCAUCCGUGUCUGAGCUAACGCAUUAAGUGCACCGCCUGGGGAGUACGGUCGCAAGAUUAAAACUCAAAGGAAUUGACGGGGACCCGCACAAGCGGUGGAGCAUGUGGCUUAAUUCGAUGCAACGCGAAGAACCUUACCUGGGCUUGACAUACAGCUGCAUACGACCUGAAAGGGACGUAGCCUUCGAGGGUGCUGUACAGGUGCUGCAUGGCUGUCGUCAGCUCGUGCCGUGAGGUGUUGGGUUAAGUCCCGCAACGAGCGCAACCCCUGUGUUUAGUUGCCAGCACGUAAUGGUGGGAACUCUAAACAGACUGCUUGUGAAAACAAGAGGAAGGUGGGGAUGACGUCAAGUCAGUAUGGUCCUUAUGUCCAGGGCUGCACACGUGCUACAAUGGGCGCUACAAUGGGAAGCCAAACCGCGAGGUGGAGCAAAUCCCCAAAAGCGACCUCAGUUCGGAUCGUAGUCUGAAACUCGACUGCGUGAAGUUGGAAUCGCUAGUAAAGGCGUAUCAGCUACGACGCCUUGAAUACGUUCCCGGGUCUUGUACACACCGCCCGUCACAUCAUGGAAGUCUGUUGCACCCGAAGUCGCUGAUCCAACCUGUCAAAGGAGGAAGGCGCCUAAGGUGUGAUAGAUAACUG